GUGCGGAAGGGAUUUCAUUGCAGCAGAUGUUCUGUCACACAGACACCAGGAAUCCACUUACUACAACACAAACGCCAUCCUGAAUCACGUAGGAGAGUUUGCCGUGUCCGCCCAGUGGAUUGUUUUUAUUUUCUUUUUCUAUUUUCUUGCAAAGUGAAUAAUUUCAAUUAACAGAUCUUCUCGUUUUGGCACUGAAACAAGCACUUAUUUCUUCCUGUGCUCUAUACAGACUUUAAGACCUCUGGCACUGACCUGCUGUGUUCUUGUUACAGGAUAUGGAAGGCCUCGGGAUAGCAGAACAUCUCUGAGUGGUAGAUUAGGAAGCCGAAGAUUCGACAUGGAGACAGCCGUCUCGGAAAGGGAACCUGAGAGAUCAUUGGUAAGCCUCUAUGAACUUUCAAUUACCAAGAGUCUAUUUUAGAUGCUCUUUCAUAAAUUGUGCUUAUGGCUCUCCCUUUCGAUCGCCUUUCAUGUGCAGAGCUGUGUAUUUAAUGACAGAUUUUUAAAAUAUUAUUUUAGAUUCGCAUUUAAAGCUAAAAUAACAUUUAGAGCUAAAAUAAAGAUUGUUGUUGGGGACCAUUUAUUUAAUUAUUUAUUUAUUUGUAAAUUUGAUUCUUAUUGUCGUUGUUGCAAGAAAAAUCCAACAUUCCAAACUUAUCUGUAACAGGUAGACUCGCAGGUCUUAGAUAUAUAUUCAUAGAACAAUGGUCACAUUUCAAUAGCAUAUUCGUGCGGGCACACAGGCCCCGUCAACAUUGGAAUAUUGUGUCGGCCCUCAGGCCUCUUUUUCCCUCUGUGGUUUUAUUUUAUCUCUGGGUCCCCGUGUUCUGGCUGUAAUCUCGGGUCCCACGGAUUGGUGUCCCAUCCCGUAGGUCUCUUUACGGUCCGGGAAGUCUAAUUCCCUGGGUCUGGGUGCUGUGUUGACCUGCCUUAAUUCCUUCAUGUCGCCUGUUGGUGGUUGUGCGUGUGUGUCUGAUCUCUAUUGGUCGAUUGUUCUAUCGUGUUUUCUAGCGUUUUUGGCUCUAUUUACUGGCUCUAUAUGUUCUAGGUACAUGUCUGAUGGUGUCUUGCUCCUGUUUGUGACGUCUAACCGUUGAUCUCCCUGUAAAUCUGAGUUUAUGUUGUCUAGUUUCAUCUGGGUGUGAUGUGUUAAUUUCUCUUCCUUUGUACCCUCCUUGUUGUCCCCCCCCCCCUUUUUUUGCAUGUGUUUCUUACACAUAAGCAGGUUAAGUGUGUCAUAUAGUGUGUUCUGUUCUGUCCGCAUUAUGUGCUUCUCGCUGUAUAUCAUUGUUUAUGUUGGGUUGUGGACCAUUUAUUUUUACUAUGAUACUUUUUUUCAGUCCUGGUAUAGAGUUUGUUUUGAUAAUUCUCUGGUGUGCUAUAUGUUCAGUUACUGAUGGUUUUAGAAUAAAUGUAUAUUUUUUUGACAACUGGUUUUGCUUAUAAGUUCAUCUUUGAGCUGCUUGAGUGAUAAUAUGGCAUAAAAAAUACAACACUUGUCUAGUAAUCGGAGGGUGAAACUAUUCCCAAAAUUAGAGCCGUGGAGACCUACAAAUUCUGAAAAAAGUGUGCUGGUUCUGUUUAUCACUAAUUUGCUACUGAUAUAUCAUAUGCAUUGUGUCUUCAUAGGAUGAGAGACCAUAUUUUUUUUUUAUAUGUUAACCCUUUAAGGGUCAUGCCUCUAAGGUCCCUAAAGACCCCAUACAGUACAAAAUGUCUUACUUACUUGGAACACUGGCUGCUGUACAGAGACCUACCACCUUUUUAAUUUAAAAAGAAAGUAUAUAUAUAUUUUUUAAUAGAAUUAUUCUGUUAUUUGUCCUAACGGAGCGAGUUUGCAUCCAGUAACUGUUAGAGCUGGUUAUGCACUAAACCAGGAAUUUUUAAGAAUUGACUAGAUUUACAAGUAAAAGUAGUCGAGUUGGAGACAUUCUUCAGCUAUGGACUAAAACUUCCAAUUUCCUUUUCUGUUUUUCUCCAUUACUUAUUUAAUGGGGGUUGUUUUUAUUUGAUUAAGUUUUUAUUUGUUUCAAAAGUAUGCUUUUUAUGCUAGGAUUUAGCAUUGGUGAUUGUAGCACCUGCAGAAACAUUGUUAUACAGAUGUACAAAUGUAUCAGUGGCAACAAUUUAUUUUCCACAGAGAAGCUUGGUUAUAUUACACCAUGAAAUUUCAUGGAGAUAACCUGCCUCGUGAGUUUAAAUGUAUAAAUACUCACCCAUAGGUCUCUGGCAGUUCACAGCCACAAAACUAGGUCAGUAAGUUGGCAAGUGCUGCUAACAGGCAGGCAACCGCAUUAGUGUCCUUUUGCCAGUGAUCAGAACCAUCAGAUUAUAAAUAUAUAAUGCUGGGAUGUAUUACGGCCAGACUGCUCGUUAUCAUCAAAUGAUGCAAGGGAGAGCAUAUAAAUAGACUGCCGUAGGAAGGCCAAUGUGAAAGUUGGGACAGUCUUGGUCUCCCCUCGGUGUGAAAACCAUUUCAUUCUCUGCAGUUUACGGAUACGUUUAUAUGAACAUCUGGCUAAUAUAGGUGCAAGAUCUACCCAGAUCUGUUUUGGUAAGUAGUUGUUUUAUUGAAGGGAAAUACACUGAAAUCCUCUGUCCAACUAAAUUAACCCCUUAAGGACACGUGACGUCAUGAUUCCCUUUUAUUCCAGAAGUUUGGUCCUUAAGGGGUUAAAGGGAUAUCAUAGUCACCAGAACAACUAUAGCGUAAUGUAGUGCUUUAGGGUGUACAUCCUGUGCUUGCAGCCAUAACACUGUAAAUACUACCUUUUCAGAGACUAGUAACACCUCUAGUGACAAUCACUCAGACAGCCACUAGAGGUGCUUCGUCCGUGUACAGCACUGAUGUUCACAGUCUCCACGCUCUGAAUGGAGGCGCUGAACGUUUCCCAUAGAGAUACAUUGAUUCAAUGCAUCUCUGAGGAGAUGCUGAUGGGCACAGCGUAAUGCACAAUAGCCUCCCAAUGUUUUCCUUUGGUAAAACAUCGAAUUGACUCAUGUCAUCAGGUUUGAUGAUCUCUGCCAUGGAGGCAGCGCCAUGCAGGGCCCCCUGAGGCGAGAUCUGUAUGGCUUGGGAAUAAAAAACAAAAAAAACAUCUUUUCAGAACAAUGCAAGGGGGGUUGGGAACCGAAAUAGUUUAACACUGUAGCAUCAGGAAUUUGUUCGAGUUAUUGACACAAUAGUGUUCCUUUAGCAGUGGUAGAAAUAUUGAUGUCUACAAGAUGACAUUUGUAAAUUCAAUCUGUAGACAAUUUAUGUUCGUUAGAGUUAAUAGUCAGUACCUGUCUGGUUAGGCUUGAUCAUCACGUGAGGUUUUUGACUUGCACACUUUGUACCUGUGAUUUCAAUAGAACUUUUGAGAGGUGUCAUCAGAGCCCUCUGGUUUGCAAGUGACAUGUUUGUGAUUGUUAGAUAAUAUUAUGGGUUGUAGGAUCCAAUGGGCCACUGUACAUGACUUCUAUUCACUGUAAAAUGUUUGUUUGCUAUGCAUCAAAGAAGAAAGGUUUAAUUAUAUGUAAAGGUUAUUGUAUUCUAAAUAAACUAUCAUGGGAACCCAAUGGAUGUACGCUCAACAUGGUAAGUUAGGAGACCAUAGUUGCCUUGGGAUAUACUUUUAGAUAGGAGAGGCUCGAUGGAUGACUAGUAAUUCCUGAUGGUGCUGUUUGACAGACAUUUGCGCAAGGCCAAAACAUCUUGUCCCACAAAAUCUGUGCUUUUAUUGACUGUAUGUGCUAAAUGCCAUGGACUGGUGCUCUUUAUAUCAGCAAUAGAACGUGAUGAAGAGAUACUUGCCAUUUGAGUUGUAUUGUGUUGAGUAUAAUUUACAGGCAAUGGGCUCCUGUCUCCCAUCUUGCAUUGCGCUCUACCAUGUGGUAUGAGUAGAGCCAGGGAGAGCAUUGACUAUCCGUUGCUACCUGGCCAUCCUUUCCUUGUAAAAACACAGCAGACCGGAAUGGAAACAGAGGCAGGGGUGAGGGAGCCUUAACUUUGGAGUGAGACUGUUUUGAAGGCACCCAGGCACUCCUACCCCCAUAACAUUUUAGAUAAGCUUAUAUUGUCAUUGGGAUGGGAGUGUUCAUUUAACCUUCAAUUUACCUUCUGAAAGGUAAAAAAAAGGCUUUGAUUAAGGCAUAUAUGUGAAGAUUCCAAAACCUGCACAAGGGAUGCAACGUUCAGAUGGAUGAUGGGUAUUGUUGUCUUUCAUUUGUGUUAAGUGCUGUCUUGCCUAGAACCUACUAGCUCUGGACAUGAUGGAGAGAAAUGGGCUGGAUUCAGCUUGGUUUACUUAUUGAGAAGCACCUUGGAAACCUCACACUUGGAUUUCCAUAGAGUGAUGUUGAUUAUGCAGGGUUGUGUGAAGUGCAGAUAGGGCUUAAUUGCUCUGAAAAGUUCAUCCUUUCUUUCUCUCCUUUCUCUGACACUGGGGACCGCACAUUAUCACAGAUUAAUUCUGUUGCUCUCUUCUUCCUACAGAUGCUUUCCACAGAGAAUUGCAUCACAACUGGGCCUUGUGCUGAUUAAAUGUAUGAUUAUCCCCUAGAGUCAUGUCCAAACACCUCAUACAAAGGAAUUAUUACCUAUGUCGCCACGAAUAAAGGCAAGGUCACUAUAAUAAACUAUAUACCUUGUAAAGGUCUCUGUGUAUAUUCUAGCAGGCACAGUGAAGGGGACAUAACCCAUUAAUGUCCGGAAGGGACAGAGAAUGCUUUAUUGUGUGAGAACGAACCUCUGUGAGGUUAUUUCAAAGGGCUGAUUAGGUUUGAGACCACGUAGUGCGCUGAUGUGGACAUAACCCAAGCAGGUUACCCCAGUAUUAGUGGGUCCUUCUUUAAUCAUAAAGUGGGAAAUAUAUAUGCCCACUACAAAAUAUACUACCUAAACUGCUUUAAGAGACACUUCUCCUAUAUACUCUUUUCUGGUUAUUUCUAAUUGGGCACCUGGAAUGGGGGUGUGAGGAUUAGUGUAUUGGAUCAGUGUGAAGCAGUGGUGGGCUUAUAAACAGUAUGGUCAUAUGGUGUGACUAAAUCCCCUAUUUUUAAAGAUCAGUGAUAAUUAAAUUUUAAAAUAUUUUGUUCAUUAGAGUAGCAGCGCUAAGAAAUGCAUAUUAUGUCUGUGCCCUAAUUCAAUUUUUGAUCUUUUAAAAUUUAGACACCUCUCUGGCUGAUUUGAUUAAGUAAUGUAUAUGAAAUAUCAGUCUCUUAAUUUGGAAUAGAUGAUGAUCUCUUUGAAUUCCAAGUUUGGAAUAGCUGAUCUAGCAGAGGCCUGACCCUUUUUGCUCAUGUCACCCACCCUAUAUAUUAUUAUUGUAACCAAGACAUUGGUCUCAUCUGGGUCCUGCAUUAUUUGUAAAGAGAUUGACUGCAGCUGGAUGGGGCGAAAUCCUUCUAACUGUACCAUACCUUGCCGUACACCAACAAUUAAUUUGCCCAUGUUUCUCUUGUUUGUAAAUCCAUAAUCUGUUUCAUUUUUUCCCCAUUACUAGUUUUUUUUUUUUUUAGAUAUUACACAAAUUACAUGCAGAACAUAGCAUGACUGUGAUGGCUCAAAGUCGAUUUUAAAAUGUAUGAGUAGCACGGGUUCUGAUUUUUAAUUAAUUUUAUUCGUUAUUAUUUUAAGCUCUGGAAACCGUAGGGCGUGUUUGACUGAGAAUGGGAAGGAUGGGUAGGAUGAUCAGAGAUGUUUCAGGUUACUCUACCCCAGAUUGUUUAGUUAUUUUGAAGAUCAUCACUGCAAUUCUGUGAUAUGUUCUCCCUAUAUCUGUCUUAUAUCAUAUUGAUUAACCAGUUUCUAGAAAGCUCCCAAUGCAGUUGUGGAGUUCGGAUUGCUUGUCAUUGUCCACUGAAGAUCUGCAGGUUUGUUUGAAAUCUCACCUGUCUGCUCGAGAAACAAAUGAUGUAAUAAAUGCAGAACAUCUAAUAUCCAUGGGUUGGGCUUUAUCUGCUAGGAUUCCUGCAAGUGUGACACCACCUUAUCAUAAGAGUAAUGUUCCAUAAAACCUGUUUACUUAUACGGCUGCUUAUGUAGAGGAAACAAAGUAAUUAUUGUUAAAGUCCUUUAAAAGAUAAGUUAUCUUUUGCUCCUGUGAGUUAUUGAGCAGAGGAUAGUGCGACUUUGUAAUUUGUAACUGUAUUAGGUAGGUGAUUAUUUGGCAUACAUUGUUCCUCAGUACCAGCGUGGCUAUAAUUAAAGGAGCACAGUGAGACGCAAAAAUAAAUUAUAUAAAUAUGAGAGCACCAAGAGGACUGCUUAAUUCCAGAGUUCCAAGCUCGACAUGCAAAUGAGUUAACCAAUAGGCAUUGUGUUUCCGACUUCAUGCUGUAUUUCUGCAGAUACCCGUAGCAAUUGAUACUAUGCUGUGGAUAUGAUAUUGCCUGUUCUCACUCCUCUGGGUGGUGUAUUGUAUAUUCCUCAUUCUCUUGUCCUCUACCAGUUUGAAGGUUCUGCAUGUGUCUUAGCUGUUCCCGACCUGCACUCUUCUAAACGGAUGUCACACUUGAAAUUUGCUGAUUUCAAUCUCCCAACAUGGGGAUUACAACCCACAGCGCUCGUAGCACAACCGGGACUAACACAAACAUGUAUUCCUGACCCUAUAGUAUUAAACCCAUUCCCAUAGGGAAAGCAUUGGCUUGGCUAAAAUCUGCAUGGGGGCGGGGCCAACACUGUUUGGCUAAUCGGCACUUGAAUCAAUGCAUCUCUAUGAGGAAAAAUCAGCGUACCCAUGUAGCGUGUGGAGACACUGAACAGCAGUGCUGCCUACUGUGCAGUUCUUCCCUAGGAACCUGUGGCCACUUGGAGGUGUCCCUAGGGGCAAUGUAAACACUGCCUAUUCUCUGAAAAGGCAGUGUUUGCAUGAAUAUUCCUGAAGGCAAUGAUUAUACUCACCAGAACAACUACAUUAAGCUGUAGUUGUGGUGACUGUAGUGUCCCUUUAAGCCAUUUCAACCAUCCUGUGUGAUGACUUGAACUGUGAGGCUUAGUACAUAUCCCAUAUAUACCUGCCAGAAAGCUGUCUAGAACUAGACUUGAAUAAGAAGAUUGGGGUCAGUACCUGGUUUGGAAAGUGCUUGGGACUUGCUUGGGCUGUAGUUUUAAUAACUGUAAAAUAAAACAAAACACAGUUUACCUUUAAAUUUUAUUUUAUUGUGUUUUAUAAUGCAUUACAAAUAGGGAGGAGGGGCACUUAUUGUCAUUUUACUAAUCCAAUAAUUUCCUAAUAAAUUGCUCCUAUUCCGAUGGGAUACUGGCAGUGAAGGAGUGGAGCUAUCAAGCUUACUGUGCUGUCUGUGGUCUGGUUUCUUUCUGUUUCAACCCAUGCAUAACAACUGUCAAGAAAGAAUCAUUACAUUUUCCAUUUCCGAGGGCUUCCUGAGGAGCACUUCCUCUAGUGAUGGAUUUUUUUUUCCUGCUGGGAAUAUUGUACUUUUAUGUUUAUUUUUGUCCUCUUUUAUUUCAGCCUAAUCAAAUCUAGUGCUAUCUAAGUUUCUUUGCUAUGGCUACUAUGACGUGAACUUGUACCUUGAAUUAGAAUCUCGUUUGCAGCUCACUGAGCCAUAAGUCAGAAUAAACAGCAGUACACAAUUAAAUUGUUUUAACCCUUAAGAUGCUUUGUACAUUGUGUAUUCCUAAACAGACUGGUGGAUUUGGUUGAUGUACGUUUUGCUCCUCUACUUGUGUGUUUGUGUGUAUGUGAGCGCUUGUCUUUUGUGUCCAUGAUCUUUGAAAGACUUGUGUAUGUGAGAUUGACAGAUUUCCUCAAGUCCAAUUUUCUGCUCGACCCACUUCAGUCUGGUUUCCGUGGUCCGCACUCUGUGGAAACGGCUCUGACCAAAGUAUCAAACGAUGUCCUUGCUGUACACGCAAAUCUAUCUCUCCUCCCCUGAUCUCUCCCCCCUGCUCUUGACUAGUGUCUCUGACUGCCUCUCUGCUAUUUCUAACUAGAUGGCUGCCUACUUCCUUAAGCUCAACUUCUGGUCUUUCCACCCUCAAGUGUUGCAACUCCUGUUUCUGUCUCCCUCCACAUUAAUGGUGCUACCAUCAGCUCCACCACACAGGCUCGCCGCCUAGGUGCUCUCUUUGACUCCAACCUCUCCUUCACCCCUCAUAUCCAGUUAAUCGCCAAAUCCUGCCGUUUCCAUCUCAAAAACAUUGCGUGCAUCCGCUCCUACGUUUGGUUAGCCAUUGCUUUAUUAACCCCUUAAGGACCUGACUGUUUUUGCGAUGUUGUACAUUUGCGACCAGGCAUAAUUUUACACUUUUGUGGUGUUUGUGUUUAGCUGUAAGUUUCCGCUCUCUCAUUUACUGUUCCCAUACAAAUUAUAUAUUGUUUUUUUUCAGGACAAAAGGGGCUUUCUUUAUAUACCAUUAUUUAUAUAAUCUCAUGUAAUUUAAUUAAAAAUAAAAAAAUAUGAUGGAAAAUUGAAAAAAAUACAUGUUUUAUUUUACUUUUACUUGACUGCGAAGUCUCCCGAGUAAAACAGUACCCGCCCAUGUACAGGUUUUAGGGUGUCGUUGAACGUUACAGGGUAAAAUACAGUGCUAGCAAAUUAAAUUCUCUGGACGUUCGGCCUGGGUUGGCAGGCAGGUCCCUCAAAUUGCAAUCAAUAAAAUUACUUAAUUAUGUAAAAAUAUUACAUAAAUACACACGUAGAAUUUAAAUAUAAAUACAUACUUAUAUAUUUGAAGUCUGUGUAUAUUUAUAUAAUUAUUUAUGUAAUUUUGUAUAUGGACAUAUGUAUAUUUCGUAUUAAUUUUAUUUAUUUAUAUAUCCAUAGAUAUAUAUACAAUUUCAUUCUAAAUGUAUUUUGAUAUUCGUGUGUGUGUGUGUGUGUAUAUAUAUCUAUAUAUAUAUCUAUAUAGAUAUAGAUAUAUAUAUAUCUAUAUCUAUAUAGAUAUAUAUAUAGAUAUAUAUAUGAAUAUCAAAAUACAGUUAGAAUAACAUUUCAUAUAGAUAUAUAUUUUUUAAAUUUUUAUUAUUUUUACAUUUUUUUUUUAUUUAAAUUACUUAUUUGUAUUUUAUAAUAUAUAUUUACAAUAUAUAUAGUUAUAUAUACGUGUGUAAUUUAAUUAGAAGUGUAUUUUUAUAUUAAUAUAUGUACAUAUUAAUAUACAAAUACAGUUAGUAUGACGUGUGUAUAUAUAUCAUAUAGAUAUAUGUCUAUAUCAUUUAUAUUUAUAUAUAUAUAUAUAUAUAAAACACAAGAUCCAGCGCACUCACCUAUCCACUAAACAGCAACUUCAAUGUUGAAAGAUUUUAUUAGUUUUUUUUUAAAAACACCUAAUCUAGGCAAAAAUAAUGGGGGUUUAGUUACAUUAUAUGAUCAUACAUUACAUAAGCCUGCCACAACGUCAAUGUACCCCAUCUUUGGCAGGUCCUACACUAACAGCCUAAUGUCUGCUCUUAUGAGAUUAACCACUUACUUGAGGGAAAAAAAAUCCAUCUGGGGCUCUCUGCAGUACAAGGCCAAAUAGGGCCCUUGGAUGAGGCACUUGUGACAGGGAGGGGUGCAAAACCAAGGAGUUGGCUAGACUCCCAAAUAUAUACAUAUGAAACAAGGGGGGUUGGCUGCACUCACCUGAACAUGCAUAAAUGGGGGUGCUGCUGGGGGCCAAAUAAUACAAAACACAAGAUCCAGCGCACUCACCUAUCCACUAAACAGCAACUUCAAUGUUGAAAGAUUUUAUUAGUUUUUUUUUUAAAAACACCUAAUCUAGGCAAAAAUAAUGGGGGUUUAGUUACAUUAUAUGAUCAUACAUUGCAUAAGCCUGCCACAACGUCAAUGUACCCCAUCUUUGGCAGGUCCUACACUAACAGCCUAAUGUCUGCUCUUAUGAGAUAUAUAGACAUAUAUAUAUAUAUAUAUAUAUAUAUAUAUAUAUAUAUGUUUUUUUUUGUUUGUUUUUUUUAAAUUAACAUUAACCUUUAUUUUUUUUGAUUUUACACUAGCGGGGAGACUGCCUGUCAGCACAGACAGUCCCCCCUGCAGGCAGACACAUGGACACCUAUUGUGACCAUGUGAUCGCCGUGUUGAGCGAUCACAUGGCCCCAAGGGUCCUAAUCCGCCGUGGGGAAACUGUCUGGGCUGCAGGCAGUCUCCCCACACCGGGAGCAACACUGAUCGCCGCCGGGGGAACGACGGCGAUCGGGUAAGUACAUAAGACUGUUAGUACGGUUCAGGACCGUCAUCGGUCGGCAAUGUAAAAAUGCCGAUGACGGUCCUGAACCGUCCUCGGUCCUUAAGGGGUUAAGAUCAAUCUUGCACCAUUUCUUUUUUCCCUGUGUCUUAAUUUAGUUCACAAGUAACAGUGCACUGCACGUAUAAAUAUAUUUUACACAAAUUAGCAAGACUGGACAAGCUGGGAAGUGUCAGGUGAUAUUUAUAUUUGUAUUAAAUUUUUGUGAUUUUAUUUCCACCAACUGCAAGGCUCAUUUUAUGCAACCAAACCAUGGUUUUCUCGUCCAAUACGAACAGAAGCACUGGGGAUGAGAUCAACAUGCAUGGUAAAACAACUCACUCGUCCAAUCAAAUGUUACUAUGAGCAGCAUUUCAUAAUAGGGCGGAGUUUGAGUCUGUUAUGGAGGCCACUAGAGGCUGCGAGGAAGACAACUACUAAAGGUAUAUUUAACCCUUUAACGUAAACUUUAUAGUUUCAAUAAACAGCAAUGUUUUGCAUUGAAGGGUUAAAAACAAAAGGGCCACUGAAAUGAGUUGGUCUGGGUGCCUAAAGUGGUACUUCGAUAGAAAUCUGAUGAUAGAUUCCUUUGAUGGCAUUAUUUUUCAAUAACAUAUGGUUCACUCUUGCGUAUUAUUAUUAUAUUUAUAUAGCGGCAACAAAUUCCAUAGUGCUUUACAAUGGAUGGACUAACAAACAUGUAUUUGUAACCAGACAAGUUUGACGCACAGGGACAGAGGGGAUUGAGGGCCCUGCUCAAUGAGUUUACAUGCUAGAUGGAAUGGGGUAAAGUGACACAAAAGGUAAGGGAAGUAUUAGGGAAGUAGAUUGGUAGAACAGUAUUAUUUAAAGACUUAGUGUGGGAUUUUGGAGCCAUUAACAGUUUAAUUGAUAUGCUUAUGUGAAAAAGUGAGUUUUUAAUGAUUUUUUUGAAGGAGUGGAGACUGGCUGAUCGUCUAUCGAAAUAGGAAAGGGAGUUCCAUAGGAACGGUGCAGCCUUAGAGAAGUCUUGUAUGCGAGCAUCAUAGGUGGGAGUACGAACAAAGGAUAGACGCAGGUCUUUGGCAGAGCAUUGGGGCCUAGAUGGGACAUACUUGUGUAAUAGGGAGGAUAGAUAGGAGUAGCAUUAUGUAGGGAUUUGAAAGCAAGAACCAGAAUUUUAUAUUGAGCUCUAUAUCUUACGGGAAGCCAAUGCAGGGAGUGACAGAGGGGUGAGGCAUGGGAUGUGCGGGCGCACAGGAAGAUGAGCCUCGCCACUGCAUUUAUUAUAGACUGCAACGGGGCAAAUUGUAAACAUGUAAUAUCAUUGAGAAGCGGAUUGCAGUAGUCAAGGCAAGAGAACAGUGGCAUGGACCAGCACCUUAGCUGCAAAUUCACAGGCUGUGCAGCUUCUGCAGUGCGCUAACAAGAAAUAAUUUAGUCACUCUGCUUACUUUACAUUCUAUAGCACUCAAAAGAAAAUUAAAAAAAGACAAAACAAGCAUCUGUAAUUAACUUACACAUUGCCUCUGAUAUGUGUCAGUGCCAGAACUGCCUGCCCCUUCCGUGUUGGCAGAGUAUCACGGGACAGGCACUUCUGAAACAUCUGGGGAGUCUAGAUUAUCCACCACUAUCUCAAUGUUUUUGACACAGUGGGGGAUUGGUAUUAAAAAAACAAACCUAAAAAACAUACACUUGCUAUUCUGGUACUUUUUCUGCUUGCACCUAUUUACUCCCUAAUUUGUUGUAAAGUAUUUCUUACUGACCAUCAUUUUAGUUGUUUGCUCCCCUCCUCCCCCCCAGCGUGCCACUUUUAAUGUAUAUAAGGGAUACAUCAGACAGAGAGGUUAGCAGCUUUUACUCUUUAAUUUUUUAAUUUUUUUAUUUCAUGUAUAAGAAUCUGUAAGCUGUAAUUAACAGUUAAAUUGUAUGUGGAAAAAAUAAGCAAGAAAUCCUAAAGACAAAUAAAGUGGAAAUUGUGGAGCUUCACAUAAAAAGCAGAUUUGAAAAAGCACCAAUGUAUAAAUUGUGGCGUAAUGGUUUUAUUCAUAAAAAUAAAAGAAAUUCUGCAUUUCCACGAUAGUGAAUGCAAUGCUUUUUAUAUAUAACUCCCAAUACAGUGAAGAACUGCAUUUUGUUGAAGUGUUAAUCUAUUGCAAGAUCCUGAACUUUCUGUAUCAUUGCGGACUGUUCUAGUCUGUAGGAUUAGAAUAAAGAAUAAACCCUUUCAAAAGAAUUUUAUUAUACAGGAGAACUAAUAGAAUGCUUUAUCUUUUUUUUUUCUCCUAUCCCAUACACUGAUUAGAGUACUCAAUCAAAUCUUUUUUUUUUUUUUGGAACUUAUGGAAGAUACUCUUGGUCGACCCAAUUUCUACCUUGCACAAUAUCUAGACAUCUCUAUUUAAAGAGACAUCAAGCAUACCAUUACUUUGCUGUCAUGGACUCUUGUUUUUUUUUUUUGUUACUCUUUACCACUUAAAGAGAAAUUGGGGGAGAUUUAUCCAAGUGUUCUGAAAAGUGAAUGUUAAAUUCUGGCAUUAUUGUGGUCCUGUUUAUUAAUGUGUUUUAAAAUUGAUCUAAAAAAAGUGUCUGGGUUCUUCAUAAAUUCUGCCAAUUUUAACAGAUAUUUCCAUUUUAGAUGACCACAAAAUUUAGAGUGGUGGUAAAAAUAAACAGAGAAAUGAAACCGAAUCCUUUUUUUUCCUGUUAGAAAAAGUGUUGGAAAGAUUACUAAAUCUAUUAGGUUUCCACAAAAAUAGUGUAAUGAAAAAUUAUGGUUCAAGCGGCACUGUCACAAAAUUGAAAUACUCAUAUUGAAAUUGUUGGAAUCUCUAUGAAAUUUCAACACAGUUAAAAUAUAUAAUUGGAAAAGUAGGGAUCACUUUGUCUAAGUAUUUUUCCUCCCUUUGACACUUUCUUGACACUGGGUGGCGCUACUGCAGUCAAGAAGUGCCAAUACCCCAACCGUCACCAGUGACGGCUGCAGGGAAUUGACGCUAUCUCUGGAGGUUCUUCCAGUGUCAAUGCUGUACUCUCGCACAUGCAUGAGACGUCUGCUCCUGAAUUUGAAUGCUAGGAGAAAACCUGGACCAGCCGGAAGAUGAUGGCGACUGCGCCCCGUGGGGCAUGUUCAGAUAAGUUAAACUCCCCUCUUCCUUCCCACUAGCCUCCAGAUCCCCAGUGGCAAUGUCACGUCAGAGGUCUUUGCUAAUUAUGCAGAGUCCCCAGAAGGUGACAGUUCUGUUUUAAGGUGAAAGUGGAUGAUCUUUCUCAAUGGGUCUAAAAUAAAAUAAUAUUCAAGACAAUGCAUUGAACAGGUAUAUACAUUGUCUGUAACAAGUGGGAUUUUAAUUGUUGAUAUAGAUGAACUAUUUCUAGAUCUGACAUGGUUAAUUUGUAUCAAGCAGUGAUGCGCCACUUGCUGACUUGAAUAGUCUAAUGGGUAAUUCAGACACCAGUCGAUGAUUAAACACAGUAUGACCUGGUUACUCAUUAUGUCCUCUAAUAGACAAUUGUACCCUUGUCGAUUCCUAGAACUAUCAGACAUCAUUUUCUUUAUAUUGUAAAGCCACUCCUGAGGUCGAUCUUUAGCAUGGCCCAAGCUGUUACAGGUAACAAAAGCUGUUUACACGUUAUUUACUGAAUUGCGUGAUUCUUUGGACGUCUUUGUGAUGUGACUUGCAUGUUUCUAGUAUUGGAAUCUUUGUAACAGGACACGUUCUAGGAUAUCUCUGCUUGAGGGCAAGUGUGUCUUUCCUGGACUUUUUCUGAUUGAUUUUGUUCCACUUUCUGUUAUUACCAUGUGGACCUUGUUUUGUAUGAAGUUACAUAUUGCUUGUUGGGUUUAAGUAUUUGCAUUUAGGUAAUUUAGACCUUAUACUUACAGCCUUUUUUUUGAUGGUGCACUCUAUUCAUCCUCCCUGAUCUUGCCUUGACGCCAAUAGUCUGGCUUUGAAAUUAGGACUCAAAUCCCCAUCCUAGUAACAGACCAUCAGUGAUGUUCAUGUUUCAUCUUUUACCAUGUAGCCUGCCUUGUUGGCCUCCCUGUGUGGAUUUCCUGAUAACACAUUUUGUCAUUUUCUUAAAACUGCAUCUUUAUUAUCCCAACCUUUGCUUUCAUUUUCACAAGGAACGGUCUUUAAAGAUUUAUCGAAUUACAUUACAAUCCCGUCUACUCUGAGAAAAAGCGAGGAGAAGAAAUAGAGGCACUGGGGAAUAUUUCAGUGUGUUCUAUUUACAAAAAAAAUGGUUCAAAGUAAUAAAAAUUGGGUAGUCACCAUGGAAACCAUUGAAAACCACCAGACGUCUUCUAUUGGUGACUACCCCCUUUUACCUUUUUUACAGCACUUUUUAGAACAGAUCACAUUCGGUAAGGAACAAGCACUUUGCUUAGCCAGAAGUAAUCUAGUUCUCCAGGUGACUUACCAUAAUGUAAUUCACUAUUUAUCUGUUCUGUUACCACUGGCAAAGAGCUUGAAGUAGAUUGCCUCCAAAUGUGUUAUCUCAGAUUUGCUUUUGCAAUCUCAAGUGAUCAGAAACUGGUUUUGUAUGGUGACAUGCAGUUUGGUUUGUAAUGUGUGCUGCUGUUUAUGUGGUUUUGGCUAGUCUAGGUUAGUUUGUCUGAGAUAUGUCUUUGAUUUGUAGAUUAACCUCCACCACUCGUUAUCUAUAAGAAGAAGCUCUUAAACAAGGGAUAGAGUUUCUCCAAAGAAACAAGAAAAGUGAGGAUAUGGGAUAUUUGGAGAGAAUCCGUCCAUAUAACAAUGGGUUGUUGUACUAUGAUAUGAAAUUGACAUGCUUAAGUUCUAUCUUAACUUGUUAGUAAUGAGGGGGAGAACAUAACUGGAAUAAAAUUGGUUUAUUUCUGAUGACUUAAAGGUAGGCAGACAAUGUAAUAGAGCAGCAGGAAAUGCUAGCAGAAUGCUUGGUUGUAUAGGGAGAGGUAUUAGCAGUAGAAAGAGGGAAGUGCUCAUGCCAUUGUACAGAACACUGGUGAGACCUCACUUGGAGUAUUGUACACAGUACUGGAGACCGUAUCUUCAGAAGGAUAUUGAUACCUUAGAGAGGGUUCAGAGAAGGGCUACUAAACUGGUUCAUGGAUUGCGGGAUAAAACUUACCAGGAAAGGUUAAAGGAUCUUAACAUGUAUAGCUUGGAGGAAAGACGAGACAGGGGGGAUAUGAUAGAAACAUUUAAAUAUAUAAAGGGAAUCAACACAGUAAAGGAGGAGACUAUAUUUAAAAGAAGAAAAACUACCACAACAAGAGGACAUAGUCUUAAAUUAGAGGGACAAAGGUUUAAAAAUAAUAUCAGGAAGUAUUACUUUACUGAGAGGGUAGUGGAUGCAUGGAAUAGCCUUCCAGCUGAAGUGGUAGAGGUUAACACAGUAAAGGAGUUUAAGCAUGCGUGGGAUAGGCAUAAGGCUAUCCUAACUAUAAGAUAAGACUAGGGACUAAUGAAAGUAUUUAGAAAAUUGGGCAGACUAGAUGGGCCGAAUGGUUCUUAUCUGCCGUCACAUUCUAUGUUUCUAUGUUUCUAUAACAAAAUAGGUUAAUAAAUAAUGUGAAGGUCUACCUUUUCCUCCGAUUUUUGAAGAUGAUCCACUACUGCCUUUGCUUGCCAGAUGCUAUUGGUAAUAGAUUUAUAUAUAUGAAUGACUUCACAGUCAAGCUGCUAAAGGGACACUCCAGACUAGGGUUCGACAGAUUGUAAUAUUUAAGGACCGAUACAGAUUAUUGGUUGUGUUUUAGGCAGAUAACUGAUACCAAUAUUCAUCCCCCCCCCUGCCUUUUACCCGUGGCCUGGUAGGUGGACAUUACACUCCCUCAUGUCCUGUUGAAUUGUGCAGGCUGCCAGGUGGUUUUAAAAGAAAAUUUAUAUAAUUAUUAAAAUAAUGUGCAUAAUCUUAAUGACUAGUUGUCUGCCAUUCACUGUUCAUUGGCUGCAGCAUGUCUAUCAGCUAUUGAUUAGUAUACAAGUAAAAUUACUUUUUAUCGGCACAGUAGGAUUUCUGAUGAUGUAAUACAACACAGUUAUAAAAAUUUUGAAUUAUUUUUUUAAUUUUACGUUAAGUCUAAACUAGUCUAGCAGUAAUAUUGGCAAGACCGAUAAUUGGUCAAUCCAUACUCCAGACCCCUAAAUCACUUCAGCUUUCCGAGGUGAUUUACUCGUGAAGCGUAUCUUUUUUUUCUUUUUCAGUUUGCAAAGUGCAGGUUUCAGUAGUAGUUGUAACUUCUAUAAAUUAACCUUGUUAUGCUCUGUCCAUUGGCUAUCAAUCAAACAUGUCAAAUAUAAUUAUUUUAGAUACAUGGCAGUGAUGAGAACAUUGGUUAAUUGCAAUGCUGCACUUGGUGAUUUCCCCAAUUAAUAAACUAAUGACAAACUAGUAUUAUGUACUCAUGCAUGUUAUAUUUCUUUUUUGAAGUCCUCCAAGAGUGGAGGCACGUCUAUAAUCUUGUCUAGAUUGGUCCAAGUUUGAUGCUUUCUAGAAAUAAUAUGCAGUAUCCAUUCCUGUUUUAACACGCUAACUGGCCCAAGUAUCACAUUCAUUCUACUGCUUUUUUUUGCAACUAUAAUUAUGUGUAGAGGUGAACAAUGUAACAGAGAAAGGUGGACAAACCUGCACUGUCACCAUCUGGGGACUUUGCAUAAUUUACACUGACGGUGACAUCACCGCUGGUGGUCCGGUGGCCAGGAAGGGCAGGGAAAGGUAAGAUUUACCGUAUAUACUCGAGUAUAAGCCGACCCGAAUAUAAGCCGAGGCCCCUAAUUUUACCCCAAAAAACUGGGAAAACGUAUUGACUCGAGUAUAAGACUAGGGUAGGAAAUGCAGCAGCUACUGGUAAAUUUCUAAAUAAAAUUAGAUCCUAAAAAAAUUAUAUUAAUUGAAUAUUUAUUUACAGUGUGUGUAUAUGAUGAGUGCAGUGUGUGUAUGAAUGCAGUGUGUGUAUGAGUGUGCAGUGUGUGUAUGAGUGCGCAGUGUGUGUGCAUGAGUGCAGUGUGUGUGCAUGAGUGCAGUGUGUGUGCAUGAAUGCAGUGUGUGUAUAUGAGUGCAGUGUGUGUGUGUGUGAUGCAGUGUGUGUGUGUGUGGCAGAGCCUUGGUGGGGGGUGGGCAUUUUUAUAUAAAAAAAAAAAAAUUAAUAUUUUAAUUUUGUUUUGUUAUAUUAUUUUUUAUUUAUUUUUAUUAUUAUUAUUUAUAUAUUAUUAAUUAAUAUUUUAAUUAUUUUGUUAUAUUAUUUUUUAUUAUUAUUUUUAUUAUUAUUAAUAUAUUAUUAUAUUUAUAUAUUUUUCGUCCCCCCUCCCUGCUUGAUACAUGGCAGGGAGGGGGGCUCUCCUUCCCUGGUGGUCCAGUGACAUUGGCAGUUCAGUGGGGGGAGGAGGGGAUCUGGCAGAGCUGUUACUUACCUCUCCUGCAGCUCCUGUCAGCUCUCUCCUCCUCCGCGCCGGUCCGUGCAGCUCUUCUGGCAGCUCACACUGUAAGUCUCGCGAGAGCCGCACUAUGACCCCGCGGCUCUCGCGAGACUUACACUGGGAGCUGACCGAGGUGCUGCACGGACCGGCGCGGAGGAGCAGGGAGCUGACAGGAGCUGCAGGAGAGGUAAGCGCUCGCUGCCAGCCCCCAGUCUGUAUUAUGGCAAUGUAAAUUGCCAUAAUACAGACUGACUCGAGUAUAAGCCGAGUUGGGGUUUUUCAGCACAAAAAAUGUGCUGAAAAACUCGGCUUAUACUCGAGUAUAUACGGUACUUACCUCAACCUGUCCCUCGCGAGCACCGCCAUCUUUCUAUGGUCGAUCCCCUCCUGAUGAAGUGCCAGGAGCCAACAUCACUCCUGUACUCUUACACAUGCACCAUAAUACAGCAUUGAGAUUUCUGGAGGAUACUGCGAGACAGCGGGAUCCUUCCUAGUCAGAGCAAAUUCCCUAUUCACCGGUUGGGGGAUUGACUCUUCUUGAUGGCGGUAGCUCCGCCCAGUGUCAUUGAGUUUGAAAAUCUACUGAGAGCAAGUAGUAUACAUUGUCUCAGUAUAUGUUUUGAUUGGGUCGGAAUAAAUGGUGGUUUUAACACUAAAGGGUCAAGAGUACAUGUUUGUGUUCCUGACCUUCUAGUGUUCCUUUAAUGCAAGUGUUAUGGUGCUUACUCCACACAGUUGCUUAUAUUGCAAAAAUCAUAAUGAGGAAUUUUGGCUUUCUCAUCUGUCCAGUAGUUUGAAUGACAUGGGCUGAAAGAACUGGGCUGAACGAUGUUUUGUUUGUUGCAAAUGCUCACAUAUUUCAAUGCAGCUUCUACUAGCUCAGUCACUUGUUCUAGGCCAGGGGUCCUCAAACAUUGGCCCUCCAGAUGUUGCUGAACUACAACUCCCAUGAUUCUUUGAAUUACAUAGAGAAUCAUGGGAGUUAUAGUUCCGCAACAUCUGGGGGAGGGGGGGGCGGAGUUUGAGGACCCCUGUUCUAGGCCUUAGAUCAUGGUGGGCAAGCGUUUAUGGAAAAGUCCAUGCUCUAAUGAAAAAAAUAAAAACCUUAUGAUUGGCUGAGUUUCUUUCUGAUCAGGAAGGAGAACGUUGCAAAAUUUGAAAACCUUAGAAAUGUAGAACUUUUAACUACGAGUUACUAUAUUUUAACAGCGGUUUGCCGUUCGUUUAGAUUUCUCCAAAGUGUUUGAAAUGCGCGUUCUAAACCCCACGAAAGCAUAUGUGAAACAGAAAGGAUCAGCUGGUAAAUACAACAUAUAUGUGUGUUUAUUUUUUUAGAAGUAAAUAAGAGUGUGAGCUCUAAUCAGAUAUAUCUGGUUACAUUAUCUCAAAAACUUGGAGCGUUUUUGGCAGUUUGUUUUCCUUGUUACAAGCAUCACAGGCUAAAAUUAGAAUUUCUUGUCUCUGACUGUGGAAAUGGUAGAUGAUCAACUAAAAUCCCAGCAUGUAAUUGAGACACUCCGUAUGUUGCAUGCAUAUUUGGAAUUUGUGUGUUUAGUUCGUAAUGCUAGAAUUUUGACAGCUGAGGUUAAAAACAUUAUCUGUAGAUUGUACUUUCUGUGUGUGGAUAUAGAUUAUAUACCGGUAUAUAAUCUCCAACAUGGGCUUGGCACUCACAUUCCUGUCCUGUUCUUGCCUCUGUGCUAUUUCGUGCCCAAUACAACAUCCCAGAGAAAAACACAGCAACUUCAAUGCUCACAGAUUUUAUUAGGUUUAAAAAAAAACAAAAACAAAACCUAAUCUAGGCAAAAAUAAAGAGUGUUUAGUUACAAUAUCUGAUCAUACAUUGCAUAAGCCUGCCACAACGUCAGUGUACCCCAUCUUUGGCAGAUCCUACUCUAUCAGCCUAAUGUCUGUUCUUAUGAGAUUAACCCAUUUACUUGGGGGGAAAAAAUCCAUCUGGGACUCUGCAGUACAAGGCUAAAUAGGGCCCUGGAAAGAGGCACCUGUGACAGAGAAGGGUGCAAAACCAAGGAGUUGGCAUAUAUAUAUAUAUAUAUAUAUAAAACCAGGGGGCUGAACUCGUCUGGGCAUGCAUAAAUGGGUGCUGCUGGGGCCAAUUUAUACAAUACACAAGAUCCAGCACACCCACUAAAAAAAGCAACUUCAAUGCUCACUUUACUCAUUUAUGUAUAUGUAUAAUAUAUAUAUUAUAAAAAAUAAUCAAUUAAAAAAAUGAUAUAUGUAAUUUUUUUCUAACUGUAUUUUGAUAUUUAUAUAUAUUUAUAUCAAAAUACACUUAGAAUUAAAUUAUAUAUAUCUAUGUGUAUAUAUAAAUAAAUAAAAAUAAUACGAAAUAUAAUAUGUCCAUAUACAUAACAACAUAAAUAAUCUCAUAAAUAUACAUGUAAACCUCAAAUAAAUAAAUAUGUGUGUAUAUAUAUAUAUAUUUAUUUAUUUAAAUUCUACGUGCAUAUUUAUGUAAUAUUUUUACAUAAUUUUAUUGAUUGCAAUUUGGAGAACAUGCCUGAUAACCCAAGCCCAAAGUCCAGAGACAUUAAUCUGCAAGCACUAUAUUUAACCCUGUAACUUUCCAAGACACCCUCAAACCUGUACAUUAGGGGUACUGUUUUACUCGGUAGGCUUCGCUGAACACAAAUAUUAGUGUUUCAAAACCGUAAAACCUAUCACAGCGAUGAUAUUUUUGCAUUUUUCACACACAAACGGCACUUUUCACUGAUGAUAUCAUUGUUGUGAUACGUUUUAGUGUUUUGAAACACUAAUAUUUGUGUUCAGCAAAGUCUCUGAGUAGAACAGUACCCCCCAUGUAUAGUGGUUUUGAAAGUUACAGGGUCAAGUAUAAGGCUGUUUUUUUCACAUUGAAAUUUGCCAGAUUGGUUAUGUUGUCUUUGAGAGUGUAUGGUAGCCCAGGAAUGAGAAUUACCCCCAUGAUGGCAUACCAUUUGCAAAAGAAGACAACCCAAAGUAUUGCAAAUGGGGUAUGUUCAGUCUCUUUUAGUUGCCACUUAGUCACAAACACUGGCCAAAGUUAGCUUUCAUAACUGUUUUUUGCAUUUUUAACACUCAAAUAUAAAUGCUAACUUUGGCCAGUGUUUGUGACUAAGUGGCUACUAAAAAAGACUGGACAUACCCCAUAUUGCAGGGGUAGGCAACCUACGGCACUAGUGCCAUGCACGGCACUCGAGGUGUCUUUCCACGGCACUCAAGGCUGCUAGAGUCAUACAGGCUCUGGCCUAUCAGGCGUCUCAGUGAAACUUCAGAUAUCUUCUAAUACGAAAAGGCGGUGAAGGAAAAUCCUCAAUUUAUGCAUUUCAAAACGUCGAGGAAGUGACCUCAGAUCAGUUCCUCCCAGCACUUGUGAAUGAGAAUCCACGCUGUAGCAGAGCAGCCUGCAGCUGCUGUUGCAGCUCCUGUCCUUGACCUGUACCUGGCCAGCCUGGUCUCCACUGGAACCUAGGGAAGUCACUCACACUGCUAGAUAUACACAGACCUGCAGAAUAAGCCUCCCCUCAUACAAAUAAUACAAACAGCCCACACACAAACAUACACACAAUCCCCACUAACGCAACACCACUAACAAUCCACAUACAUGCACACAAUCCCACAUGCAGCCUCUCACAUGCAAUACCCCAAACAGCCCCCACACACUACCAAAUACUCAAUUUGACAUAUCCAUCCAUACACACACACAAUUCCAAAAGCAGCCCUCAUACACAGCCCAUAAACUACUAAUGAACAUAUACAAUAUAAUAGCUCAUAUACACACAAAUACAACAAUACAAAGCAAUUACAGUAUAAAUAACACAAGCAGAAUACAGCAGCAUACACACCUCAAUUUAAAAAAUAAAAUAGGAUCGGCACACUACGGGACAUCAGAAUCCUAUAUCGGCACAGUGCUGCUAAAAGGUUGCCUACCCCUGCCAUUGAAUACACUGGGUUAUCUUCUUUUCAAAAAUAUAUUGUUUGAUGGGGGUAAAUUACAUUGGCUGGCUUCAUAAAUGCCCCAAAUAGGACAUGGGUGCAUGAUGACCAGCUGUGAAAAUUCCAAGUUGGAAAACUGCAAUUGCGCACCCUCAAAAUAAGGUAUUUUAGCCCCCAGAGAACCCAAUACACCUAUACAUGGGUAAUAUCACUGUACUCAGGAGAUGUUGCUGAACACAUAUUGGGGUGUUCUUUGGCAGUAACCCUUAAAGUUCUCAGUACAUGUAUUCUUAAUUUUAUGUGUCAAAAAAAUCCCCAAUUAUUAUUAUUGUUAUUUUUUUUAAUUUGGCAUAGAUUAGUGGUAAAAUGGUUGUAUGAAAAGAGUGAAAAUACCCCAAGUUUAAACCCUUAAUGUUGGCGUCUUUUAAAAUAUAUAUACAUAUGAAGGGUUAUUCAUGGAUUCCUGACAGCUAUCAGUGUUACAAUGUAACUGGUGUUCAUUUUGAAAAAAAAAAAAUGGUUUGGAAAUCGCAAAGUGCUACUUGUACUUUUUGCCCUAUAACUUUCCAAAGAAAGCUAAGAACAUGUUAACAUUGGGUAUUUCUAAACUUAAGACAAAAUGUAGAAAUUAUUUAGCACAGGUGUUUUUUGGCAGUUGUAGAUGCUUAACAGAUGUUGGGGGUCAAAGUUAGAAAAUGUGUGUUUAUAAAAAUCUUUUUUUAUAGUAAAUUAAAUGAUAUGAUGAAAAUAAUGGUAUCUUUAGAAAGACCAUUUAAUGGCGAGAAAAACGGUAUAUAAUAUGUGUAUACAGUAAAUAAGUAAGAGGAACAUUACAGCUAAACGCAAACACCGCAGAAAUGUAAAAACAGCCCUGGUCCCAAACGAUAAGAAAAUAGAAAAACGGUCUGGUCACUAAGGGGUUAAUAAGCCGCUCACUGGUCACUAUUUGUCCUUUUAGUGACCCUUUCUAGUCCCCUUUGCUUACUGAAGUGUUUCUCCCUAUACCUUUCCCCUAAUGUUACUCCAACUAUUUGUACAGGUCAAUAUAGCAUGGAUGAAAAAGGGACAGGCCCAACACUUGACCUAUAACUCCAAAAGGAGGACUCUGUAAAGGUUUGAAAACACUCUAAACACACAUAAUAAACCUGUUCUAAUAGCUGUUGAUUAAAAAGUUCAGCGUUUCACACAUUGUUUGUGUGAAUAUACAAAAUCUGUUUGACCACUGCUCAGGCUGGAUAUGAGCAAAUUUUAAACUGAAAUCACACGUUUUUGACAUGCAAUGGUUGUUAGGCAUGUAUUUAUUAACUAAGUUAAUUUAUCAUCAAUCUAAACUAUAUUAGACGCACUAUGAUUUAAGUGUUAAUCAAACGCUAAAUGUUAGUUACUUUGUUACGAGACUGAUCCUCUCCAAAUCAGUUAAAAAAAAAAAAUUAAAAAAAAUUAUAAUAAUAAUUCUCUACCCAUUUACGGGAACUUGACUGAGUCAAUAAUUCCUUGUCCUGAAGAAGGGGUCAUUUUACAAGUAAUUCUUAUUUUAGCUGACGGACUGACAUCAUCUACUGUAUUUAAAGUAAAUUUUGUGCUCAAAACACACCGUUGGCAGUGGGGAAAGAAUUCCAAGCAAGAUGACCACGUUUGAACUCUGCUCCUUCUUAGUAAAUAUAAACUUUUGUGAAAGAAAACAUUACUGUUAAAUAUAAAUGGAUUACCUCUAGUUUCUGUUUUGUAUUGUUUAUUUUAGUUUAUUCAUUUCCGUAAGGACAAAGGUGACACAACACAUUCCGAGCAAGUUGUUGACCUUUAAGAGGUUAAUAACCUUUUAAUAGUACAUUGAAAUCGUGACCAUCAUUUUUGUAUGUUGUAUAAAACUAUAAAUUAUUUGUUCCUGAUUAGAUCAGUUUCUUGACCUGUGUAACUGCCAUAUGAGGGGCUUUUGAACAAAUCGUUAACUGUCCAAAAAUACUCGUACUUGCCUCCCCUGCUCUUUGCGACCCGGCAAAUGCUCUUGUAGUGUUUUAUAGGAUUGAACAUACAAAAAAUUAUUGCUAUCAGAGCAGUGACAGUUCCUGUUUUCCGGAAAUAAAUGGCAUAUAAUAGGAAAUCCAUUUUUCUAUUUAUAUCGUACUAACAAACUCCACAGCACUAAAUGUGUUAAGAAACAUGAAGGAUACUUGGCUAAAAACAUAUGUUAAGGGACACUUCAAGCACUAUAACUGCACGAUGGAUGGACCGCACACACAGAGUACUGGUUGGCAGACAUGUGUUUAUUAAUUAAGUUCAUUAUAUAUCUCUGUAGUAAGUUCUAGGCGUAUGUUGCUUGGUGUGUCCCUUUAAUAAAUUAAGCUGGUUUUCCAAGUGUUUGUAUUUGUUGAUAUAAAUAUUUCACAAUUCUCUGGCACAAACUAAUUUGUAGAGCUCCUCCCUCCGUGCUAGAAGCUGUGCAAACCAAGCUACUAGGGCAUUGUUGGCAAUUUAUCACAAUCACUCAUUCAAAUAUAUUCUGUAUAUCUCGCAACAUUUCAAAUGGCUAAAGAGGGUGUUUUUUUAGGUUGGAGAUGUGGCUGAAAUGGGCUAUUUCAGAUCACUUUUAGGUGACUUUGUGACCUACUGAUGGCAUUUGUACUGCAAAUUGUAUGGGUAAUCUACCCUCACAGGUCUCACUUUUUGGAACAUACACUUUUAUUUUUGGCUGAUGAAAUUAAAAAUCUAUUUAGAACAAAGACAACAUGUUUAUAUUUCAGCAUAUUUACAAUUUAUGGAUACGAGUUAGUAAUUGUCAGGUGUUUUAUUGCUGAGGAGCUUUCUUUUUUUAUACAUUUCUCCGUCGUAAUCUCCCUGCACAGAUAUUUUUACUAUCCGCUAUAAGCAAGCUCUUCUGUGCCAGACACCAGAGGACGAUACUUCAUCUUCUGUUUGUGCUUUGUGUUCAUGAUGUGUAUCCAGCCCUACCUCCUCUUACAGGUUCUGUGAAACAGCCCGUACCACAAAUGCACCUUCACUAGUUAUGUGAUCACUAAGUAAAGCUCCUUCAACAAAAAUUAAAACAGAGCAGUUAAAGGAACACUAUAGGGUCAGGAACACAAACAUGUGUUCCUGACCCAUAGUGUUAAAAACACCAUCUGGCCCCCCUUGCCUUUCUAAAUAUAAAAUCUUAAGUGUAUUCAAGUCUACAGCUGCUGACUCUGCUCCUGUCUGCAUCAGAGCUGCAAGCUGUCUGUUGAGAUAAUCAGAAGUGGUGGUCUGAACCAAUCACAAUGCAGUGCUGCUCACUGUGGAGCACUGCCCCAGGAGGCACCUCUAGCAGCCAUUUGAGGAGUGGCCAGUGGAGUUAUCACUAGGCUGUGAUGUAAACACUGCAUUUUCUCUAAAAAGGCUGUGUUUAUAGCAGGGCUCGACAAAUCUCAGGCGCCAUGUAGACUAGGAUUUAAGACCCGGCGUCUGGGAUUUGUUAGCCCACUCAGCCCCGCAGGUGGUUGGCUGCCUAUUAGUGGAGGUGGGCGGGCGGCCGUCCGGCUCAUAAAGAGCAUGGGCGUGCGGUCGGUCUGGGAGCAUUUGCGGUCAGCCGGCCAGCUGAUGGAGAGUGUGGGGUGUGCGGGCGGGAGGCUCCUGGAAGAUUAAGGCAGAUGGGCAGGUGCACAAGGGAGCUGGAACCUCCCUCCCUGCUCUGCUCCCUCGCGCGUCCUCCAGUGAUGCCGGGAGGCAGAAUAUGACGUCAUUCUGGCCCCGGCAUCACUAAACAGCACUCUAUGGAGUAUAGCAGGGAGAUGACUGAAGCUCCACUAGACCCCAGGGAAAACCGAACAUCAUUUGCUCCAGUAAAGGCUGCAGCAGGGUUUGCUGGGGUCAAGCAAUGGUUAUCUCUCUGGAAAUGACACUUCCUUUUAACAUCAGAAUCAAAAUGCUGAAAUGGCAGAAUUGCUUUUCAAUUAAAAAGGUCACUAAGUACUGUAACACACUUCAAUUUAUUUUCUUUUGGGGGUAGGGGUAACUAUAGGGGUUAAUAUCUUUGAGCAGCUGGGAAAUGAUUAAAGUCCAUAUUUAAAUAAAAAAAAAAAAUAACACACUCACACUCACACUCUUACCCUUACCCUUUUUUUUACCCUUACCCUUACUCUUUUUACCCUUACCCUGUAAUGAGUCACAUACAUUAUUUUAAUUUAGACAGGCUAUGGUGCUUGAAUUGCAUUUGGUACACAAGAAUCAGUAUGGGAAACAUACUUUUGAUGACGACCUAGUGUAGUGCAAAAGGCACUUUAAAAAAAAUUUAAAUUUUUUUUUUAAAGCACCAUGACCACUCCAGUGAUUUGAAACUUUUUGCUGCUGGAGGUAUAACUCUGGCAGUAUCAUUUACCAGCCUGGAACUAAAAAUAUCUAUGCACAGAAUUGCAUUCAUUGGCCAAUGAAAGGCCGGCAGGAUGUUUUGUUGAUCCGUUGUUAAGUUCUUAUCAUGUUUGGGAUUUAUAAAUAAAUACACUGGUCAUAAAAAAUAUACAAAUAAAAACAAAACAAAAAAAGUACAAUAAUUUUAAUGACCAUAACAACCCUCCUAAUGCAAUGGGCAUUUUCACAUAAACCUAACCCAUAUGCAGCAUUUCCUGCUUUCUCUAACAGUUUCAAUUGUAUAAAGAAUGAGUAGUCUAUUAAUUAGAAGCCAAGGGCAUGUUAAUAACUCAUAUGUUCUAAUCACAAGAGAUGGAUAAUGAAAUAUCAGACCUUAAAAUGUUUUGCGGGAUUGUCCAAACACUCAGUUGUAUCUAGAAAACGGGUUACCUGGAUAGAUUCAAACUCUAAAGACUAGAAGCAAGUCUAGAUUCCUCAAAGGGAUAUAUUUUUUAAUUUUUGUAAUUUUUUUUUUUUUUAUUAAAGGGACACUAUAGUCACCUGAACAACUUUAGCUUAAUGAAGCAGUUUUGGUGUAUAGAACAUGCCCCUGCAGCCUCAUUGCUCAGUCCUCUGCCAUUUAGGAGUUAAAUCCCUUUGUUUAUGAACCCUAGUCACACCUCCCUGCAUGUGACUUGCACAGCCUUCCAUAAACACUUCCUGUAAAGAGAGCCCUAUUUAGGCUUUCUUUAUUGCAAAUUCUGUUUAAUUAAGAUUUUCUUAUCCCCUGCUAUGUUAAUAGCUUGCUAGACCCUGCAAGAGCCUCCUGUAUGUGAUUAAAGUUCAAUUUAAAAAUACAAGAGAUACAAUUAUUUAAGGUAAAUUAAAUCUGUUUGAAAGUGAAACCAUUUUUUUUUCAUGCAGGCUCUGUCAAUCAUAGCCAGGGGAGGUGUGGCUAGGGCUGCAUAAACAGAAACAAAGUGAUUUAACUCCUAAAUGACAGUGAAUGGAGCAGUGAAAUUGCAGGGGAAUGACCUAUACACUAAAACUGCUUUAUUUAGCUAAAGUAAUUUAGGUGACUAUAGUGUUCCUUUAACUUCUAUGUAUUAAUAGUGUUUACAAAGUUAAAAUCCAUAGAUCUGUCCAGCCUGUAUGAAAGGAAAUCCUGCAUGUAGCCUGCAAACUCUUUAGCUGGCAGUAGCUUAGUAGAUGUAAGCCUAGCCUUCAUGGAAGAGAGGAGAUUCAAAUCAAUCACAAUAAUCAGAGCACAAAAUGGCAUAUAUUUAUACUAGUCCUAAAAAACAGUGUUAGAAUAAAAAAAACAAAAAACCCUCCAUACUCUCAAGGCUAGUUAUAAAAUGCUUUUAGUUAAGGGAAAAUCAUUUUUCUUUCUUUUUUCUUUUUUUUUUUUUUUGUGUGAUAUAGAAACAUGUAAGUCACAGCAAGACAUAAGGGAUGUUAUCGAUUGUGGUUUUAUGAGACACAGAUACAAAAGUCACCAGAUACACGCUAGAAGGUUUUCUUACCACAAGUGUCACUGGGUCUUGGAGAAUACAGCCCUGAAUACAGGAUGUGGUGAAACGUUUUUAAAAAUUCAGUUCACUGAAACUCCAUGCACUUUAACCAAGCCCCUCGUAUUCUUCUCCAAAUGACUAUUUAGUGUAAAGGGAUUUGUGCUUAAGUGUAACGUCCUUGGUUCCUAAUUGAAGCUAUACUGCCCCAUCUACAUCUGGUUAUUUCAGGUUAAUUGUUUUUCAUAGUGAUCUUUAUCACCUGUGAUCUAAUUCUCCUUGGUAUGCAAAUAAGGUUCCAAAAAAAUUAACUGACAUGGCUGCACAUCUUUAAAAUCCCCCCCCCAGGAAAUCAUUGAUUCAGAAUUGAAUGCCACUACGCUGUGUUAUUAGGCAGCAAUAUAAACAUUGUCUCUUCUCUGAAAAGGCAACGUUCAUAGCCUGUCCAUAGAGGCUGUGCUCUGUAAACUCCAGAACCACUAGAUUAAGCUGUAGUGGGUCUGAUGGCUAUAGUGUCCCUUUAAGCACCCGUUCAAUUGACCUCUCUUUUAAUCUGCAGGAGAUCUAAAUUUCUAUUCAACUGGUCCUGUUUCAGGGUUUCCAUGGUGACUUAACAUUUUGGAUUUGAAGAGAAUUAAAGAAGGAGAUUCAUGGAGUGUAUUUUAAUGUAAAUAAUGGUACAGUUUAAAGAGUUCAUCCAAGCACAAUGUCUAAUUCAAUGUGGUCAUGAUAACGUGGUCAUGGUAACUCCACCUCCGGCAUCAUCAGGGUAUCAUUACCAGGCCUAGAAAGAGAGUUUUGGACUGGCUAAUGUCAAUCUGUGCAAAUUUCAAUGAACAACCUUGCAUUCAUUGGCUUUAAGCAAAUAGCAGUCUCGUCAAUGAAUGGCCAGAGGUAUGGGCAUCGGCUUCUAAAGAUCUGCAGAAGCCGGAUGCACGUCACCCUCCAUUAAGCACCAUCUGCACCUAGGUAAGAGGGUAAACCAUUGGAAACUGUUUUCCCCAUUACCUGGAAAAUGAGCGAGGGUACUCCUGACAGCAGACUGUAGUAGUUCUAAUGGAGUAACCCUUUAAGAAUGUGUGUUACUUUCAGAAAUUAAAUACCACUGCUCUAGUUAAUAGCUGUAUAUUUAAACCACCAGAGCCCAUGGAAACUGGUCCUUCUUUCCUCCUGAUGUUCAUUUUGUAAAGCUCACCUUUGCUAUUUAAAAGAAAGUCAUUUAAUAAUUGCAUCUUCUUGUGUAUAAUCUUUAGUCAAUUAACAGCAGUUACCUGUCAUUUAGUCUUCAUACAUUACUCUACUUUGCUAUUUGAAUCAUAAUUGAAGUCUAGAAGCUUUAAAGCUAAAUUUUACUGCAGUUGCAAAAGGCUUUCUAUGUACAUUCUGUGAACUAAAGUAAUGUUUCAUCCUUCGUGGUACAGUGACUAAAAUGUAAUUUUAAUGUUUACUUAUGCCCUGAAUUUAACAAAUAUGUGUUUAUGAAGUGUGAAAAUAAAACGAAAUUAAAAAUGAACACAUACUUAUCCUGUAGCUUGAAUCCUUGCAUUUUAACUCUGUCAUUGUUAUAAGGUCUUCUCACCGGUCAGUCAGCAUAGAGAGAAAUUAAACAAUGUUUCUAUAUAUCCUCUGUAACGGAUCGACGGGCACCCCGACUGGGUACCUCCGUUAAAGGAUGCUCCUAGCGCUUACAGAGAGCACCAAGUGCUUUGCAGACUCCAAGAACCGCCGCAGCUUGGUUGGGGUCUCGCCAUCUCCUACCCACCCUGGACCUACGACAAGGCUCCAGGUUCCAGUGGGUGAACCUCUCCUCCAAGAGAGUAAAGCAGGAACAAGCUCUUAAAAGAGCUUAGUAGUGAUUAGCUAAGGGAGUAUGCAGAGCAUAGCAAUUCCCCCAAUAAGAGACAGGACUCUAGAUUGAGGGUGAAGAAGAACUGACUGUACUUGCACAUACAGCCUCUUUUAUUCACAUUCUACAAACAUAGUACUGCCCACAGGGUUUUGAAGAACAACCAAUCAACACAUUACAACACAGCUAACACUCCCAUUCAUUACAUCAGAAAUCCUCCCCUCUGCCUGUGGUACAAUUAUCUCAACACAAUAGACUAACUUAAUUAUCACAGGCAGGAACAUACAGUAUUAUAAAACAUAUCACAGGGACCCCAAAACAUGCAAUAACCCCAUAAAAAUAUAUAAUCGGAACCGGGGGAUCUGGGUGAACCACAUAUCCAAAAUACACCCAGAUCCGUUCAGUAGUUUGGAAGAUACGGUUUAAUGCAGAUUCCACAGAACAUAUACAGGCUAUAUGAAAAAUAAUUACUGUUAAAUGUGUCCCCUGUUCUGUAGUUUAAAACCAAAUACCGGUGAGAUGGCACCGUGUAGAAAAGUCAAAACAGUGUCUGUGAGUUAAAAUGGUCACCAUCCAUUGUUCUCACCAUGUGCUUCAUCCAGUGUUCUCACCAUGUGCCUCUGAUACAUGAAAUGUUGGCCACCCAGUAACUCCACAGUUUGUCUGGUAGUCUGUCCAGCCGAACUAACAGAUGAAAGACAUGGGGACAGUGCAACAAACGAAGGGAAUCAUAAAAAAUAUGGAUAAUGGUCAUAUCUGUGCACAAUCUCCAGUUUUGUCACAGGGCACAAAGUGUUUUCAAAUGCCAUAUAUCAGAAGGUAGGAGGCGGGCAAGCAGCCCCCUCCAAGAACACGUGGCGAGGUCUGUUCCGCCACAUCCUCGUUAGCAAUGUCUGCCAUGGAUGUGCCUGACCUGAUCCGGAUUGUGAUGUAAUUUGCUGAUCUUUAAAGGGACACUAUAGUCACCACAACGACUACAGCUUAAUGUUUUCUGGUGUCUAUAGCCUGUCUCUGAAUGCAUUUUCAUGUAAACACUUUAUUUUCAGAGAAAAAGUGCUUCCUGGUUUGUGCAGCACUGACAUUCAGCGUGGAGAUGAAGGUGCUGAAAUUUCCCCAUAGAGAUGCAUUGAGUCAAUGCGUCUCUUUUUAAUGAGCUAAUUGGCCAGCGCAGCAUUUGGCUCUGGGAAAACAUUGAUUGGCUGAGAUUGUCAACUUUGAUCUUGGCCAAGAAAGCAGAUCGGGGGUGGGGCCAGCAUUGGCAGACCUGCACAGCCCUGGAAUAAAUGGGUUUUUAUUUAAGUGGGGCCUGGCCACCUAAAUAGAGUUUAGAACACUAUAGGGUCAGGAAUACAUGCUUGUAUUCCUGACCCUAUGGUUUUCCUUUAAAAUAAACAAUAAAAAAAAAAAAGUACCACAUUUUAUUUUUCAAUGUUACUGUUCCCUUUUAAAUGAGUUUCUUGAAAUCAAAAACCAGUUGGUUGUAAUCUGCUGUAUUACCUAAGUAAGCAAAAGCCAGAUUCGCUAAUUAGAAAGACUCCUUAUGCUGGAUGGUGGAAGUAUAACGAACACACACCAAUAUUUAUAAAUGUGUACAAAUUUAACUGCCACAUAUUUACAUUUAAAGGUCGGAAUAAAAUGUAAAAAAACCCUACAUUUUCUAAUUUUAUCAUUUUCAUUGGUUCAGUAAAAAAAAUUACACUUUUAAAUCUUUUUGCAUACUGCCUGCCUCAACUACAAGUUUGAUAUAAUGCAGUAAAGUUUCCUAUUAAGCUUGGAUGUGACCUGGUAAUAUGAUUCAGAAAAUGCCAUUAAACCAAGCGAGUGCUGUACGUAUUGCUUUAUAUUGAACUACCAUCUGACACUGCUCUGAUCUGUCAAAAUGAAAAUAUAUGCCUGCAAGUUGAGCUUUCCUCCAUUAGCUAAAAAUGCUAUUUCAACCUUUUCUGGCAAUAAAGACCUUUUAGAUAUGCGCGGCAAAUUGAUCUUUGCAUUAUAACUUGAUGGCAUUCUCUGCCCAAGGCAUUAACCUAUAAUAGCAUGCAGUGCAUCUUGUAAUGUACAUGUGUAGUUUAACUUACUGUAGUAGCAUGUUUAAUAUAUUGUAUGUGUGAACACAAGUUAACACAAUGUAUUUCCUUUGUCUCUUUCUCUCCUGUCUUGGCUGCCGCUGUUGCAAUCAUCGCUAUGCUUGUCCUUGGUGCUGGAUUCCCCUUUGUCACCAACCAUACUUCACAAACCGCAGCAGAGUGACAAUAAAGACUCUCACGGAUCACCACGUAAGUAGCAAUAUAUGUAGGUUUAUUUCAAAGCUGUAUUUUGAUACAUUAUAAAAUGGCAACUUUGACAAUGUGUGUGUGCUUUCUCGGUACGGAGUGAGGAUUUCAUGCUUGUUUGUAUUAACUGAUUUCCUUUUCUAUACGUUUAGAUCAAGUGUGGCCAAUCGAUAGCUUUGUAGCUGUGGUAGGCAUGCAAAGCAUCAUGGGAUACAG